UGCGUAGGCGGCCAGGUAAGUCUGCUGUGAAAUCCCGCAGCUCAACUGCGGAACUGCAUUGGAUACUAUCUGGCUAGAGGAAUGGAGGGGAGACUGGAAUUCUCGGUGUAGCAGUGAAAUGCGUAGAUAUCGAGAGGAACACCAGUGGCGAAGGCGAAUCUCUGGACAUUUCUGACGCUGAGGCACGAAAGCCAGGGGAGCAAACG
rnacentral:rRNA from 1 species